rnacentral:misc_RNA from 1 species
GCAAACUUGGUCAUUUAGAGGAAGUACAAGUCGUAACAAGGUUACCGUAGGUGAACCUGCGGUAGGAUCAUUAACAAAUCCAGGGGGAUGCUAUGCUCCCCAUCUGUUCCGGCGGAGAUGCGCUGUGGCGUUCUCUGCCGUGUUCGACGUGCUCUGCACAAGUAUGUAGGUCGGGAUGAGAAAUGUGUGUGGGAACAACAAAACAACUUUCAACAAUGGAUCUCUGGGCUCUUGCAUCGAUGAAGAACGCAGC